rnacentral:rRNA from 1 species
UACCAGCACCCCCGAGUGGUCGGGACGUUUAUUGGGCCUAAAGCAUCCGUAGCCGGUUCUACAAGUCUUCCGUUAAAUCCAACUGCUUAACAGGUGGGCUGCGGAAGAUACUAUAGAGCUAGGAGGCGGGAGAGGCAAGCGGUACUCGAUGGGUAGGGGUAAAAUCCGUUGAUCCAUUGAAGACCACCAGUGGCGAAGGCGGCUUGCCAGAACGCGCUCGACGGUGAGGGAUGAAAGCUGGGGGGAGCAAAC